rnacentral:tRNA from 1 species
GCAGUCGUGGCCUACUGGUUAGGGCUUCGGGCUUGUAACCAGAGGGUUGCUGGUUCGAUCCCCGACCAAUAGGA